rnacentral:rRNA from 1 species
UACGGGGGGGGUAAGCGUUGUUCGGAAUUACUGGGCGUAAAGGGCUCGUAGGCGGCCAACUAAGUCGGACGUGAAAUCCCUCGGCUCAACUGGGGAACUGCACGGGAAACUGGAAGGCUUGAGUUCGGGAGAGGGAAGCGGAAUUCCGGGUGUAGCGGUGAAAUGCGUAGAUAUCCGGAGGAACACCGGUGGCGAAGGCGGCUUCCUGGACCGACACUGACGCUGAGGCACGAAAGCUAGGGGAGCAAACGG